AGUGAACGCUGGCGGUAGGCCUAACACAUGCAAGUCGAACGGCAGCACAGUAAGAGCUUGCUCUUACGGGUGGCGAGUGGCGGACGGGUGAGGAAUACAUCGGAAUCUACUUUUUCGUGGGGGAUAACGUAGGGAAACUUACGCUAAUACUGCAUACGACCUACGGGUGAAAGCAGGGGAUCUUCGGACCUUGCGCGAUUGAAUGAGCCGAUGUCGGAUUAGCUAGUUGGCGGUGUAAAGGCCCACCAAGGCGACGAUCCGUAGCUGGUCUGAGAGGAUGAUCAGCCACACUGGAACUGAGACACGGUCCAGACUCCUACGGGAGGCAGCAGUGGGGAAUAUUGGACAAUGGGCGCAAGCCUGAUCCAGCCAUACCGCGUGGGUGAAGAAGGCCUUCGGGUUGUAAAGCCCUUUUGUUGGGAAAGAAAAGCAGCAGGUUAAUACCCCGCUGUUCUGACGGUACCCAAAGAAUAAGCACCGGCUAACUUCGUG
rnacentral:rRNA from 1 species